rnacentral:rRNA from 1 species
AGUGAACGCUGGCGGUAGGCCUAACACAUGCAAGUCGAACGGCAGCACAGGAGAGCUUGCUCUCUGGGUGGCGAGUGGCGGACGGGUGAGGAAUACAUCGGAAUCUACUUUUUCGUGGGGGAUAACGUAGGGAAACUUACGCUAAUACCGCAUACGACCUACGGGUGAAAGCAGGGGAUCUUCGGACCUUGCGCGAUUGAAUGAGCCGAUGUCGGAUUAGCUAGUUGGCGGGGUAAAGGCCCACCAAGGCGACGAUCCGUAGCUGGUCUGAGAGGAUGAUCAGCCACACUGGAAAUGGGACACGGUCCAGACUCCUACGGGAGGCAGCAGUGGGGAAGAUUGGACAAUGGGCGCAAGCCUGAUCCAGCCAUACCGCGGGGGUGAAGAAGGCCUUCGGGUUGUAAAGCCCUUUUGUUGGGAAAGAAAUCCAGCUGGUUAAUACCCGGUUGGGAUGACGGUACCCAAAGAAUAAGCACCGGCUAACUUCGUGCCAGCCGCCGCAGUAA